rnacentral:rRNA from 1 species
GACGAACGCUGGCGGCGUGCCUAAUACAUGCAAGUAGAACGCACAGUUUAUACCGUAGCUUGCUACACCAUAGACUGUGAGUUGCGAACGGGUGAGUAACGCGUAGGUAACCAGCCUGGUAGCGGGGGAUAACUAUUGGAAACGAUAGCUAAUACCGCAUAAUAUUGAUUAUUGCAUGAUAAUUGAUUGAAAGAUGCUAUUGCAUCACUACCAGAUGGACCUGCGUUGUAUUAGCUAGUAGGUGAGGUAACGGCGCACCUAGGCGACGAUACAUAGCCGACCUGAGAGGGUGAUCGGCCACACUGGGACUGAGACACGGCCCAGACUCCUACGGGAGGCAGCAGUAGGGAAUCUUCGGCAAUGGACGAAAGUCUGACCGAGCAACGCCGCGUGAGUGAAGAAGGUUUUCGGAUCGUAAAGCUCUGUUGUAAGAGAAGAACGGGUGUGAGAGUGGAAAGUUCACACUGUGACGGUAUCUGACCAGAAAGGGACGGCUAACUACGUG